rnacentral:tRNA from 1 species
GCCCACGUAGCGCAGCGGUAGCGCACAAUCUUGGUAAGGUUGGGGUCACGGGUUCGAUUCCCGUCGUGGGCUCCA